GUCUACAGCCAUGUCACCCUGAACAAGUCCGAUCCUGUCUGAUCUUGGAAGCUAAGCAGGGUCGGACCUGGUUAGUACUUGGAUGGGAGACCACCUAGGAAGACCAGGUGCUGUAGGUG
rnacentral:rRNA from 1 species